rnacentral:rRNA from 1 species
UACGUAGGUGACAAGCGUUGUCCGGAUUUACUGGGCGUAAAGAGCGCGCAGGCGGUCGAUCAAGUCGAGUGUGAAAGCCCCCUGCUCAACUGGGGAGGGUCAUUCGAUACUGAUCGACUCGAAGGCAGGAGAGGGUAGUGGAAUUCCCGGUGUAGUGGUGAAAUGCGUAGAUAUCGGGAGGAACACCAGUGGCGAAGGCGACUACCUGGCCUGUUCUUGACGCUGAGGCGCGAAAGCUAGGGGAGCAAACGGG